rnacentral:lncRNA from 1 species
CUUAAGCCUGAAAAUAUUCAUUGAAACACCAUGGCUGAGCAAAGUCCACCCUUCCAGCUCUAAUCAAUUUCUCUGAAGUUGGCCAGAUGUUGUCACAAUUUCCCCAUAGCAGGAACCGGGGAAGUUCUGCGGUGAGAAUAACACCCAGGAGCUUGCAUGAACUGGCAGUGAGUGGUUAUUCCAUGCAGAGAAUUAUAUUUUUUUUGUUUUGUUGUCUUUUUUUUUUUUAAGGCAACAUGUCUCUUCUUAGAAACAAAUGAAAAUUCUGUAACAAAAGCCAUCAGGCCAGUAGAAAUCCAGUGGUGGUGCUUUCAUAAUUUGGAACUUCUUCACUCAAUAUGUUGUCCCAAGCUCCAUGAUGGGGAAGCUGUCCACAUGGGAUAGGUAAGGAAAUUCAUUGCCAAGUGGGUCUCCUUCUGGAGCUGCUGGGCUGGCUGGAAAGAGCCAUCAAUUCUAUGGAUUCAAGGAGUCCCCAAGAUGAAUGCGGAAUACCAGGGCCUGGGGAGGAUUUUGCCCUAGGGCCAUGAAGGCCCACAGAAAUUCCAGAACCUUCCCAGAAGUUCAGGUGCAAUUGCACUCUUCACAGAGAAGGAUCCAGGAGCCCCAAGUACCAGCUUCCUUCUGUUCACACUGUGACUUGCUAAUCUCUUCCUUCAGCCAAUGGCUUCAACUUCGUUUUCACCACAUCAUUAUUUUUGUGUCCCAGACACACCAAUGAGAUGUCAACACCAUUUUGAUGAGAAUUUAAUUUCAUCAUGAAGAUUAUAGGUAAAUAACAUAACAGCUUUCUGCUCACCAAGGACUCUCUGGCAGAGGGGAAUAAAACCUGAUAAUCCCAGGGAGGGGGAAGGGCACUCACUUUUAUUGCACUCUUCCUAAAUCCAGGUACUUUACAUAGUUUAUCUCAGAUAAGUUCAUCCUAGGCAACAGCCCUAUGAGGAUUGUCAUUCAACAAAGAAAGAUUUAAGGGGAUUGAAAAAGUUACCCAGGCCUCAAGACCAGCAGGCAGACACAGGGCCAAAGUCUAGAAUCAUUCCACUUAUGAAGCACCAGCUUUGAAUAGAGAAUACCUAUAACUCUUAUACCAACUCCUAAGGUCUGUAGACCAGCAGGAGAAGGUGUGAUGGCAGCCACCUAGGGUCUUGGGGCUGGAAAGAGGUCCAUACAGGAACCCCAAGUGAACUGAAACCACCACUGAAGGCUAGGCUUCCUUCUCCAGAAUGCAGCUCUUGCCUUGCAAAAGAAAUCAUGGUCUAACCGUGGUUCUGACACAAGCCUUGCCUUCAGUUCAGGGCUGCAACUUCAAGUUCCCACUUGAACUAUCCAAGCCUAAUGACCCAGGUAUGUAAGGCUGAAUUGUCACCUUCAGCCUGCACCAGGGAAUGGCCAGAUGGCAUUCAGGGUGAUUCUGUGCUUCUGGCUGACUAAUCUCCCCAGGUAUAAGAGUAAACAAAGAGCUUGGGGAUGCCAUAUGUCCCUGAGUCAUUGUGCUUGCCGGAAUCACCAUCAUUCUACAUAACAUAUGCUUUCCAGGACCAAGGUGGAAACUUGUCUUAUAGUUGAAGGCAGAAUGAUUAAAAACAUAAAGGCAUAUCUAGGGAGUGUGCAUCUGUCAGUUGUAUCCUAAAUGAUAUUUAUUUUUUUAAACUGUGGUUUGUUUUACUAAACAGUGUUCAACUCCAAUCACUUCUUCCAGGGUCCUGCAUGGCUCUGGCUAUUGUAGGCCCUCAGGGAUGUGAACUGAAUCAAAGGGUUACAUUCUUAAUCCACAUUCUUUGUUUACCGAUUUGCAAGUUCCCUCUGAGUUGAAAAUGAAGUCAAUCCUAAUUUAGUUUAAAGAUUUCCUGCUGAGAUUUGGAGGUGGCAUCGAACAGGGUGCCCCUUCCUUCUAACCACUUUAGAGUCCCCCAGGCAGGAUAACCUGAAAGGAAAGGUUGAGGAUGAGUCAUAGAAUCACACUCUCAGGGGCUGAGAAAACUGGGAAGUUCCUGAGGAUGGACACUUAGCAUUCAUUAGGAAAAUAAUGGCUCACAAGCUCCCAUCACCUCAGUGUCUUGGUCAACCAGAAUGGUGAAAGUAUGGGCUAGUCAAGGACAGAGGCUUAGAAGCCUUGAGCUGGAGGAGUUAGACCCACCCAAUUUAUUCCUUUCCUUUAUGCAGGGGGGCAGAGUAACACCUAGGGUCAUACAGUUAAGGGAUUUCAGGGUCUCUUAAUGGCCCGGUGCUUUUCAUGAAAGACAGAAUCCAGUGGGGCCUCUAGUGUUUGAGUCACUCUGACCCAGGUGCUGGGGGACCCCUGGGGUGGAUGUCUGCCUUUUACCCUUCAGACCUUUAGACCAUGGCCUACAUUCUACAACCAGAGCCAAUGGAAGCUAAGGAUGAUUUGGAGUUGUGAUAGCAGUGAAUGUCAUUCUAGACCAAACUUUUGAUACUAUUGAAAGCUUUUCAGUGUUUGGCAGUUUUCCACUCUCCAUCCCAUCUAAUCCUGAAAAAUUUGUGAGGUGGGCCUAUUGCCACUGCACGAAACUUUGAAAGACCAAAUGACCCAUCCAAGGACCCACUAUUGAUGGGAAAGAGAUGGAAUUUGAACUUAGGCUAGCAUCUAACAUGGUUCCAAGGUUCUAUUCAUAAUCUCUUAAAGGUAGUUCUUAGACGAGUGGGAUCUUACAGCUAUGGAAGACAGACUGGGAAUUCAAUGUGUGUGCUUCAAACACUUUGGAAGCUCCCCGCUCCAGGAAGCAGUUUUUCUUUCUAAAAGGAAAAUGCAUAUAUGUUUAUUUCCAUUCAGUACUCCUGUCCUGCUAUAAAGGAGGAGGUCCCCACCUUUCUUUAUUCUUUUUAUUUCUAUUAUCAAGUCUUUAGCUUUUCUUCUAAAACUAAAAUUCCAACUCCAAUUCAGGAAUGCUUAUAACAUUGGCCCAUGAAACAGUUGCUGGCUUCAAUCAUUGCAACACCUACUUGUGUAAUAGAGUGAAAUUACUUUUUAUACAUGAAAUCUUAGAAAAAUAUUCCUCUCAGAAGAGUUAUGAAUAAAAUCCCAUGGCUGCUCGUCCAAAAGAGUGGAAUUUUAUCACUGGAGGGGAGCUGGGGCACAAAUUGGAUCCAGCCUGUCACUCAGGUUGCUGCUGCAGGAGCCUGGCAGAUGGGGCACGCACCACUAAGUCUUAAAGAGAGGGGUCUUCCCUGGAAUGGAUUUUUGGGAAAGAACCUACUUUGGGGAACCUGGCUGGCUCAGUCAGAGGAGCAGGCCACUUUUGAUCUCAGGGUCUAAAUUCAAGCCCCACAUGGGUGUAGAGGUUACUUUAAUAAAUAAAGACUUAGAAAAUAAAAGGAGGGGCACCUGGGUGGCUCAGUUGGUUAAGUGUCCAACUGCAACUCAGGUCAUGAUCUCACAGUUCGUGAGUUCAAGCCCUUCAUCAGGCUAUGUGCUAACAUAGAGCCUGCUUUGGAUUCUGUGUCUCCCUCUCUCUCUCUGCCCCUCCCCAGCUUAUGCUCCGUCUCUCUCUGUCUUAAAAAUAAAUAAAACAUUAAAAUUAAAAAAAAAAUAAAAGGAAAAGAAACUACUUUGAAAAAGCUUAUGUUAAUAUUAGCCAAAUACAUUGGAGUCCCCAAAUCACUGUCUCUUGCUUGACUUCUUAUUGGAACUUCAGAUUUGUAUUCUGUAUGGUCUGUGUUGGCAUCUCCUCAUGCAGAUCCUUCUCAACAUCUCACUCAAUGGGCACCUUUUCACUUCUGCUGUCAGUUUCCCAUGGGCUUCCUCUCUGCACUUGGCCUCCCACUGGCAUGAGCAAAACAUGGGAGCUUCCUCCCGGGUGCACCUUCCUUUCUUCCACAGAGCUCUCUCAGCUUCCAGUAUCACACAGAAGUCAGGAAUCAAGGCUUCUCUGAGUAUUAGUGAAUAAAUACUCCAGCUCCAUCUAUCCCAGGUGGAGCAUUCUGAGGUUUGCUCUUGGCUUCUCCCAGCAGGUUGAACCCCCACAGACACAGCAGGAACCUCCACAACCUUGUGUUGGUUCUGUCCCUUCCCUGGUUUGCUUCCCCACUGCCCUACAGUUUCACAAGGUCACCUUCCAAACACUGCUUAUAAAUGAAUUUCUCUUUCAGAGUCAGUUUCUGGGGGAACACAAACUAAGACAUACUUCAAACUCAGCAUGCUUGAAACAUCGUUCUCUUCCUUGUGGUGUUUCCAUCCCAGUUGGUAACAACACCCCAAGAGCUCAUUUUUAUUCUCAUUCUUCCAUACUGGAAAGUCCACCUUUUAAUUGGUCACUGAUUUCUAUAAAGUAAACCUCCAAAAAGCCCCCCAAUCAGUACCUCUUUUACUUCCAUAAAAGUUUUCACAAAACCUCGGGCAAUUUUAAUAGUUUCCUCACAGUUCUGUGUAUCUUUAAUUUAUCCUCUCUCUAAGGCAUUCUUCAUAGAUUUUCAUGACUUAUCCUUUGAAAACACAAAUUUGGCCAUGUGCUAUACUGUGCUGAAAAUUCUUAUCUCUCACUGCUGCCUAUAGAAGGUCCAAGCUCCCAAGCUCUGUGCAAAUCCUCACCAUAAGGCCCCUGUUCUAGAUCUCUCUCCUCCAGCUGAUCUGUUUCACAUGGCAAACCCACCAUCCACACCCAACUUGCAAGUCCCCAAAUAAUAAUACACCUUCUUUGUCAGCAUUGGACUUUGCCCAUGCUAUUUCUUGACCUCAGAAUGUUGUUCACUUCUUUUUCUUCUUUCUUCUUUUUUUUGUUUGAUGAAUUUUUAUACAUCCCCAAAUAACCAAAUUGAACCUCACUUGCCUGCCCCUGACAGCUGCAUUAAAGUGGUGGUCUUUCUUUCCUUUCACACAUGCACUAUCAUUUGGGAGUGGCAGUGUAUCCUCACAUGCAUGUGUUUGUCUUUCCACUUUGUUGUGGGUCUUUCAUUGUAGGGAACAUUUGGAUUCUUGUAGUUCCUGCAUAAUUACUGCCUGACACAAAAAGUAGAUACCCAAUAGUUGUGUCCUUCCAGGUGCUUAGGUUAAAAGCUGGGAUUCAUCCUUGAUUCAUCUCUUCUUUUUAUACCCCACAGACUCAAUCCAUCAAGACAUCCUGUUAGUUGCACCUCCAAAAUGCAGGAUCACACAUAGAGAGUCUUGCCACUUCCCGCCACCUGCACUGUUACCUGUUACCAAUGUGAC